rnacentral:lncRNA from 1 species
UGGCGCUGCAGAUUAUCACGACCUUCACCUUUUGAUAAACCACUUACCUGAUUUCCAAAACAGACAGGUGCGAAUUUCAAGAAAUACAACACUACUUUAACUACAAAGGAACAUAUAAUUCAAGAUAGAUUUCAUAUUAGUAUUCAGUAUAUUUGAAAUGGGUGACAUAUCGACAUUGACCAAUUCGCUUGCUAAGAACGAUGCAUUGCUGUAAAUUUCUAUGAUGAGUUUAUUUCUACUAGAUGAAAUAAAAUAUUGUACGUGCUAUAAAUCUAUGAAUAUGAUGUUUCCCUGCCUAAACUGACCACAACACUAACACAGUGGAUAUUGAAACUCAAAACAGGUAAACUAUCAUAUGGUGGGGAUAGCCGAAAAUAAAUGUAUCAAUAUUUGUAUAAUUGCUGUCUUCAUGUUACGACUAAAAAUGUACAUGAUCAAUGACAAUAUAGACCAUGGGACAAUGACAAUGCAUAUCUUUAUAUAAUCUAAUAAGAAUCAUGGUAAUCAUAAUAUUUACAAAGAAGACACUAUAUACUAACAAAAUUAAAUAUGUAAUAUUGGGUUCCCAUGAAAACGGAAAUUCUAUUGCAGACCAAGAAUAAUGCCCUUGAAAAGAAAAUAGGGAUAAAGAAAAAGUGGAUAUUUAAAUUCCACCCACUUCCAUCCUGCCCUGGACAGUCUAUAUAACAUGAUGCUCAGGACCAACCUAUUGAAAGUAUUUUUACUUUUUUGUUGUUUGGAAAAUUUAUGAAAAAUUUGCCACUGGAUUUUAAGCAACCAACAAUCAAUUUCUAAAUCCAAACUUAACGUUCCCCUAUCAAGUAUAUUAAUAAACAAGUUCAAUAUAGGUGGAAUAUGCACUCCAGGUCAAUUUCAUAGGGUGCAGCAUAGGUAGGUUCAAUUAGUCCGAGAUAACUCUGACGUCCAACGGCUGUUUUGCAAGACAAGCUGGGGCCGUGGGAUGUCAGAGCUCGUCCAAUAUCAAGUGGAUAUUUGCCCACCCAAAAUAGAAGCGUUGCUUCUGGUGCAGACUGACGGCCUUGGAAUUAUAUAAAUCGGGCAUCAAUCUUUUCAUUUAUCUUUUCAUUUAUGUAAGUUUCACCUACCUGCCAACCUUUAUUUUUCCAUAUUUUAACAGUUUUUACAGAGACCCAUAUUGAUUUCUGCAUUUUGACUUUCACUUUCAAAUGGACGUCAAGAUACGAGUGAGUUUGUGGCCUCGAGACUUCAGUAUGCAAAUUUUUAUACUUUUUUCACUUCCAUUACAGGAGAUCGAUGUUUAACAUUUAGUAGCCAACCACGAUUUUUCACCUCCUUUACAGGAGAUCCUUAUUGAGCAUUUAGUGCCAACCACAAUAACAAUCAGAAGCUCUCGGACAUUUAGAUUACUUGCAUAGUAAAUAAACGAGGUGUUCGAUUAUGGUCAUUUGCAUAAAUCAUCACUUUUUUCUCGAGGUCAUGUGAUAAUCUUUACGUCUUUUUGAAAAUUAAAGUCAAAAUGUCUGAAUCGAUGCAUGGGUCACUGUGAAAACUGUUAAAAUAUGGAAAAAUAAAGGUUGGCAGGUAGGCGAAACUUACAUAAAUGAAAAGAUAAAUGAAAAUGAAGCAGAUGAAGCGCGAUUUAUAUAAUUCCAAGGCCGUUAAACGGCACCAGAAGCGACAAAGCAGCGCAUCUAUUUUGGAUGGGCAAAUAUCCACUUUUUGAUAUGGGACGAGCUCUGACAUCCCACGGCCCAGCUUGUCUGGCAAAACAGCCGUUGGACGUCAGAGUAAUCUCUGACUAAGGUUCAAUGUACCUUGGGCGGAUCCAACCAUUUUAAAUGGGGGUGGUUCCCAACUAUAUGUCCCCAUUCAAAUGCAUUGAUUGGCCGAUGGUAACUGCCUAUACCAUGUAUAAAAAUUCUGUACACUUGUUUCCAUCUUAUCUUAGACAUUAUACAUAAUUUGAGCCCAAAAAGCAAUGUCAUAUUUUAUACCAUCAGACUUCGUCAUACAAUAUUGACUGGAAUUCAAGUACAGUCUGAGUAAUAAUAAGACUGCAACUAUUGAUUUGGAUAUGACUAAGGUGUCAUUUAAUUUGACAGCUUUGAAAAUGGGUGUCAAACAGACUUCACAUCUUUAUUAAAACAGAUUAUUAUCUUCUAUAUCUUUAUGCUGUACGAAGGUACAAUCUGUUUAUUAAGCAGUCAGAAUCAAUUCUUGUAGAGUUACUACCCUUAUUUUUAGUACAUGUAUAUUUUCAAAAUUCUAGUACAGAAAACAAUGUUUUAAAAUAUCCAUUUUUUGUACAGUAAAUAUGAUAAUUAGAUUAAUUGCAAAUUGAAUGAUUUUAUAUUUACUAUUUGAGUUGACAGGACUUUGAAAUGAAAAAUGAACAAGUUUAUCAAUCAUUUGCAAACUGACAACUUCUACUCUUGCAUGAUUUCAUAACAGUACAUGUAUCUUCAGUACCAGUAAAUAUGAUGGAUCUAAAGGAAAUUAAGUAAUCAAAAGAGACUUUAAAAUGGAGG